GGUAAAGCACUGGUUUUUUUUGAGGUUGAUUAAUUUCAUUACAAGAUUUUUCCAAACUCUGAAUUUAUAAAUAAUAUUUUAAACAGUCAGAUUGUUAGCGAGAAAGUUGAUAAUCAAAAGAGAAACAACUCCAAAUGAUUUUUAAGGUUUUAAAAUAAACUUUUAAAUAAAGAAAAUUUUUAGUUUGAACAACAUUGAAGUAAGCUUAGAAACAGCUAUCUUUUUUAUAAAAACGUAACAGUUUCAAUGCAAACACAAAAAAUUGUCCAAAAUAUAAUGAAAUUUAGGUUUUACCGAAAAAUCAUAAUAAAUAUAAAGUAUUUAUUGGUAGCAGA
rnacentral:rRNA from 1 species